rnacentral:misc_RNA from 1 species
UAAAGCUAGGUUGUGGAGCUUUUCUUAAUAUUUUCUACAAAUUAACACUUCAACAAGAAGCCUCACAUGUAGGGGGCAUUAAGAAAAGCUCCAUAACCUAGCGUUACUGAUGAUCUAGUGGAGAACUAAUCAAAUACUCUCCUACAAGCCGGCAAUAAUGAAAGACUAGAGAUCACGCCCAUUGGUAUAGAAGCUGGAGCAGUGUGCCAUCCAAUAUCAAAGACUGCAACUUCUUCAAAUUCUGAACCUCCACUGGCAAUAUUUCUAUGCAAGUCCCUGACAAAUUAAGAUACCGCAAGUUCCUCAAAUUCCCAAUGCCCACAGGUAGCUCAAUUAAGCUUUUGUUAUAUGACAAGUCCAGAACUCUUAAAGCAGGCAUAGAUUGAAAGAAUUCACUUGGC